UCUUUACUGCCUCACACCUGGCAAAAGUAGUAGGAAAUCGGACCUCAGGGGAGUUUUGCCUGGGGGGGGUCCAAGAAAUGAGGGAGUUGAGUUAAAGCAUUUUGUAUAUUCUUCUCCAGAGAGCAUUAAACAUACCUCAUGUGGAGGGUGCAGUGAGAAUAUUGGGAAGAGAACUUGAAAUCUCUCCAGGAUGCAGACACAAAUACAGUUUCUCCAAGUGAGAAGAAAGCACCAAAAGACACCACAGACACCAGCACUGCAUUCAGCACCUUGUUCCUUGGCAGUCUCCUUCUGCUCCAUGGACACAAGUGCAGAAAAGUGGGCCUGAUCAUAGGCGAGCACCAGAGGGGAGCGGUGACACUGGCUGGCUGGGACCUCCAAAGGCAGAUAGAUUCCCCCAAAGGGAAUAGGGGCAAAUGCUGCAGCAAACCACAAAGAUUGUUAUUCAGGAUGUGUUCCUGCCUACAGGGUAAUCCCCACACCCACUCUACCAAGGGUCUACGUAGCCCCUUCCUUCCCUCCUCCCAGUGCUCAGCCAAGGCUCUGCAAACAGAAGGUGCUCAGGGCAUGAGGACUGACUCACCUUCCCCACCAGAGUCCCUCAGCAUGGUGUCGGCCACAACAACUAUGGGCCU